rnacentral:tRNA from 1 species
GCCUUCGUAGUAUAUAGUACAUUAUUUUG